rnacentral:tRNA from 1 species
UCUAAUGUGGCAGAUUAGUGCAAUGGAUUUAAGCUCCAAAUAUAAAGACUCACCUUUCUUUAGGA